AGAGGGGUUGUUGAACCACUGGUUGUGGAUCACUGCAUUAAGGCCUGAUGGUACCCAGCAGUCUCAUACUCUGGAAGAUGGUAUCCCAGGUGAAGGUGGAGAUGUUGGUGCAAACAGGAGUUGCGGAGGAUGAUGCGGCCUUUGUGCAGCAGCGAGAGCUGAUCUUGAAGCCCACAGUAGUGCCAACUGCCCGCUGAUGUUAUUUACCUAUGCUCAAUUGAAAUACCAUGGUGUUAUUAUUGGCUGGCUUACACACAUCCCAAUAUACUCACUUCAGCCAGCUGGAACUUAAGAAUGAAAAGCCCGGAACGCUGUUUCUGUCCCUUGGUGUAGCUUCAUCUUCCUGGGCCCCAAGGAAAGACAGGGGCGGCUCUCCAUUAUGUGGCUGGAAUAAUUUUGCUGGUGGCUGCAUGAAAGGGAAAAAAUAAUUAUAGUGAAUAUGAUACAAAAUCUAUUGUGAACAGUUGGCCAUGUAUUUUAUACUAUAGAAUAAAGCCUGCAAUGGAAAUA